rnacentral:rRNA from 1 species
AGAGUUUGAUCAUGGCUCAGGAUGAACGCUAGCUACAGGCUUAACACAUGCAAGUCGAGGGGCAGCAUAUCGGUAGCUUGCUACUGAUGAUGGCGACCGGCGCACGGGUGAGUAACGCGUAUCCAAUCUUCCCCUUAGUAGGGCAUAGCCCGGCGAAAGUCGGAUUAAUACCCUAUGUUAUCCAGCGAUGGCAUCUGAAUUGGAUUAAAGGUUUACCGCUAAGGGAUGGGGAUGCGUCUGAUUAGGUUGUUGGCGGGGUAACGGCCCACCAAGCCAUCGAUCAGUAGGGGUUCUGAGAGGAAGGUCCCCCACAUUGGAACUGAGACACGGUCCAAACUCCUACGGGAGGCAGCAGUGAGGAAUAUUGGUCAAUGGGCGAGAGCCUGAACCAGCCAAAGUAGCGUGCAGGAAGACGGCCCUAUGGGUUGUAAACUGCUUUUAUACAGGGAUAAAGUCGGGGACGUGUCCCCGUUUGUAGGUACUGUAUGAAUAAGGACCGGCUAAUUCCGUGCCAGCCGCCGC